AAUUGAAAAAGGCAAACUUGUUGGAAGACAAGGACGCAAAGCCACGGGUCUAAAGCGGUUACUGAUAUCGCUAUGAUAGCCGGGUUGCCGAA
rnacentral:ncRNA from 1 species